GGGAAGCCUCGUCAGAUGGGGACAGGGCUAGGCAUGCUUGAGCUUAGAUUGUUCUUGAGCAGGUCUUGCUGCAGCGGCUGUGGGGGAUGGGGUGAGCUUUCCAGGUCAACAGACUUGUGUACCUAGGAAGAUCACAACUGCCUCUGCUGAUUCAGGUUCAUUGUCGGGGAACUGGGGAAAAGCCAGGAGUCACAGGCAUCGCUAGCUCCCAAGAAAACUGAAGAGCUGGUCUCACUCCCACCACGCCCCUCCUAACAGCACCGAGUGUUUCUUGGCAAUGGGUGAGCAGGGCUUGAGAACUUGUCCCAGGCUACCUGCUUCCCAGCUGUGAGAGAAAGUGCUUUGUUUUUUCCCCUGACUGUGGAGUCUACACAGGAGAUUUGUACCUCCCCUGAGUUUCUGGCCAGGAGGCUUGUUGCCCAGCUCAAACUGUUACAAAGUUCAAAGAAGAAAGUUGGAGACUUUCUUCUCCCUUUGGCAUUUUCCCUCACACCUCUAGCUGCCCUUUUGAAGGAUAUCUGUGGUGCUAGGCAGAAAUGGCGUGCUUGGAGACCCCCGCAAGCUCCCAGGCCUUUCCUGCUGCUCCUCUACCCCUGUAUUUUGCUCAGCUCUCUAAAUUGCUCAGCUCAAGUAUCCUUGACUGGUUCCAAGUCCACAGGAGAAACUCUGGCACUCUCUAGUCCCUGCUCCUGCUCUGUAUGGAGGCCACAGAUCCCAGCUCUGCCGCCUGCUGGGAUGGACAGAAAGAGUAGACCCCAGAAUCCCAUCCAGGAUCCUACGCUGCAUUUAGUCAUCCAGCUCCUAAGGCUCCUCCGAUCUGUGACAGCUCCGGGGUCUGUCCUUGUUUCUCAUGACCUGAUGCUUUUGAAGAGUAGCAGUCAGCAUCUCGCAGAAUGUUCCUCAGUUUGGAUUUAUCUGUGGUUUUCUCAUGAUGAGACUGAGGCAGUGGGUUCUGGGGAAGAAGAAAGCAAAUGUUCCUCAGGCAUCGCGAGUUCUGCAUGUGGAGCUGCGGAUGUUUCUAUUGAGCGCUCAGGGUGCCUUAAUGGCCUGGCAUUGAUCAGAGCUAUCGACCUUGUGGUUUCAAGUAACCGACAAGGUUUCCAAUGGAUCCAGAUAAUUAAGACUUCUCAAAUGGCAACUAAUAAUUUGCAUUUGCAGUGCAGCCAGCCUUAGGAGCUCAGGGAACCCACACAGGACAAGGAUAUGAUAGCUAGUAUCUCCAGGCGUCUUCGUCCAGGAGGUGAGCUUCAGAAUGGAAAUCAUGGGCAAAGAGUAAUGGAGCAGAAUGAUAGAAAAGUCUGAGCUCUUCACUACCAUGGAGCCAUCAGCAGAGCCCUGGAUUGCCUACCCUAGACUUGCUUUAAUGAGAGAAAAUUACCACUAUCUCAUUUACUGCACAAUUUAGGUUUUUUAUUCCACACAGCCAAGUUACAGCUAGUCAAGUCUCACAGCUAGUAAGUAGCAGAGCUGGGAUUUGAAAUGAGGACUUUCUUGGUUUAAAGCACAUUUCAUUCACCACUGUGCCAUUCAUUCAUGUGGAGAACAUCCACGCGUGUGCCUUCACAUGCUCUCCACUGUGCUAGGUACUAAAGAUGCUAAGAUGAAUAAAACCGUAUGACAAUUUAGUUCUGACAUACACUAGAGGUGUGUAAGAGAGAGAAUAACUGCCUACCUCGGUGGCAAAGUAAUUGUAAAGUGGGCAACUUCAGCAGAAGUAUUUUUUUUUUUUUUGAGACAGCUUCAUUCUUGUUGCCCAUUCUGGAGUGCAGUGGUGCAAUCUUGGCCCACUUCAACCUUCAGCUUCUGGGUUCAAGUGGUUCCCCUUGAACUCAGCCUCCCGAGUAGCUGGGAUUACAGGCACCCACCACCAUGUCCAGCUAAUUUUUUUGUAUUUUUAGUAGAGACAGCGUUUCACCAUGUUGGCCAGAGUGUUCUCAAACUCCUGACCUCAGGUGAUCCACCUGCCUUAGCUUCCCAAAAUGCAGGGAUUACAGGCUUAAGCCACCGUGCUUGGCCAGAAAUUUUUAAUAUUUGGAUUUACUAAUAAAAUUGAAAGAGAUAUUAUAUUCAAAACAACUAGAUGACUCGAGGUUAUGUUGAGGAUUGAGAGAAGGAGGAAUUUUCUAACAAUUAUGGCUUUCUCUUGAUAGUUGACUUUUAAAUAGCUUUGUAAGGGUAUUGGCCUUUGCCAUGUAAAAAGCCAUUCCUUAAUAUAAAGAUGCAAAUAAACAUUUUGUGUGCUUAUAAUUCUAUAGGUCAGCAACUGAAGUGGGGCUUAGCUGAGCAGUUCUGAUCUUGCCAGAAUCUCCAAGGUGCUCAGUGAUGGGAUAAGAAGCUUGGUAUCAUUCUAGUGAUGUAUUCCCUGACAAUCCUUGCAUUAGAAACAUAGUUUAUCAUUAUAUUUUCUUGUUAAUUAGCUCCGAUUUCUUAUUAAUUUUCUCUGUUUUCUCAUUGAUCUAUAACUAGUAUUUGUCAUAACAUACAUAGGCCAGUGAUUACAAAUUAUUGGGGAAGGAGAGAGAUUCUGAAUGGUGGAGUGAUGGAAGAGGCAUUUUGUAAUGUAUUAAAGUUUAAAUAAUGACUCAACAUUUUUACCCAAAAUGCAUAUCUUCACUGAUGGUCUCCUGAAUUCUUGAAUUAAACUGUUGUGUUUAUGUAUAAAAUACUAUUAUCAUCGCUCUUAAAGUUGCUGUUAUGUUAUGAAGCUAUUCAUGAACUUGAAGAUUCUUAUAACACACAGAGCACAGAAGGGAUUGGUAUGACCCCAGAAAUAUCAAUCAGGGGAGCUUCCAUGGUAUACGAAUUGUCUCUAUCAAGGUCGACUUCCAGCUGUUCCAUGGGAGACAACCAUUCUCCUUCUCCACCCAUUGAACCUUCAGAUAUCCAGUCACCAACACAAACAAGAUCCUCUGGGAUAUUACUGAAGGCAUGAAGGAGGCCAAAAGUGGGAGGAGAGGGCCUGGGAGAACAUGGGCACAAACAGCUGUGUGAGAUGAAGCCACAAUUAAAAGGGGGACAAGGCUUUGAGAGUGUGAUCUUCAGCAUAGAAGUGGGGUACCAAGUAGGCAUUUGGUUCAAGAGAAAAAAUGCCUACUGUGCUUCUUGGAAAAAAAAAAAAAAUUUGGGCUGUGCUUCUUGGCUUCUUAUGUUCAGAGCCAAUGGUGAGUAUAUGUGGUGGGGGGGGUGCAUGGUGUGGGGCAGGGGUCCCCAAUCCCACUCCCCAACACCUAGACUGUGGGCCCAUACCAGUCUGUGGCCUGUUAGGAGUCAGGCUCCAUAGCAGGAGCACUAUCUCCAUCAGCACCUCCUGUCAGAUCAGCAGCAGCACUAGGUUCUCGUAGGAGCGUGAACCCUAUUGUGAAUACUACACUUGAGUGAUCUAGGUUGAGCAGUCCUUAUGAAAAUCUAAUGCCUGAUGAUCUGAGGUGGAAUAGUUUCAUCCCCAAACCAUCCCCCACCACCAUCCACCAUCCAUGGAAAAUUGUCUCCCAGGAAAGUGGUCCCUGGUGCCAAAAAGGUUGGGAACUGCUGCUGUGGGGGAAGCAGGGUUGUGGAAAUUCCAGGCAGAGGAAACAGCAGACUUAAAGUGAAGUACUAAAGAAGUCCCAUGUCACUAGGGAAAAGAAUGAAAAAUGAGGGGCCCCAGGUCUCCAAUCUCUGCAAAACCCAGAGUGACGCCAAUGUCCAGUACUUCCUCCCUGCUUGGAAGGCUCAGUCUUAUAGACUGUGUCAUUCUCUUGGCACUGCUAGACUUGAUAAUCUGUCAGGAUUUUACAUUUUUACAGGUUUGCUGAGACAGUGUCCAUGAAUAGAUAAGGAGAGUAUCACUGUUAUUCCUAAUUUCCAGUGAAGAAAAUGAAACUUGGAAGUGCAGGAGUCUUGGUAAAGGUGGCUCAGUAGGUAAGGGGAGGAACUAGGACCUGAGCUGAGGUUUUUCCUGUCGAUCCAUGUGGCUCAUUAUGCUCAUGUAUGUGCAUUUACAUAAGCCCAAAUCUGCUUAGAUCUCGCAAUCUCUGGUUCUGCAAAUAUGUAUUAAAUGCCUAAUGUAUAUCUCACAGGGGAUACAGUCCUGAGAAAGAAAACGUCUCCAGUCACAGAGAAAAAUGAUGGCCAAGUCAUCAAACAAGCAGAACAUUGUUUUAAAUGGUGCUAAAGCAAGAUGGGGUGGGGGGGUGGACAGUGAGGAUUGGGUGGGAUUUCAGGAGGGUGGU
ensembl:lncRNA